GUAACGGCGAGUGAAGCGGCAAAAGCUCAAAUUUGAAAUCUGGUACCUUCGGUGCCCGAGUUGUAAUUUGGAGAGGGCAACUUUGGGGCCGUUCCUUGUCUAUGUUCCUUGGAACAGGACGUCAUAGAGGGUGAGAAUCCCGUGUGGCGAGGAGUGCGGUUCUAUGUAAAGUGCCUUCGAAGAGUCGAGUUGUUUGGGAAUGCAGCUCUAAGUGGGUGGUAAAUUCCAUCUAAAGCUAAAUAUUGGCGAGAGACCGAUAGCGAACAAGUACAGUGAUGGAAAGAUGAAAAGAACUUUGAAAAGAGAGUGAAAAAGUACGUGAAAUUGUUGAAAGGGAAGGGCAUUUGAUCAGACAUGGUGUUUUGUGCCCUCUGCUCCUUGUGGGUAGGGGAAUCUCGCAUUUCACUGGGCCAGCAUCAGUUUUGGUGGCAGGAUAAAUCCGUAGGAAUGUAACUUGCCUCGGGAAGUAUUAUAGCCUGCGGGAAUACUGCCA
rnacentral:rRNA from 1 species